UGCAAGUCGAACGGAAUUAUUGGAUGCAAUAUCGAAUAAUUCAGUGGCGAACGGGUGCGUAACACGUGGAUUACAUUCCGGGAAGUGGGGAAUAGCCCAGGGAAACUUGGAUUAAUGCCCCAUGUGGUCGCAAGACUAAAGGCGCAAGCCGCUUCCUGAUUGGUCCGCGGCCUAUCAGCUAGUUGGUGGGGUAAUGGCCCACCAAGGCAACGACGGGUAGCUGGUCUAAGAGGACGACCAGCCACACUGGAACUGAGACACGGUCCAGACACCUACGGGUGGCAGCAGUCGAGAAUCUUUCACAAUGGGGGCAACCCUGAUGGAGCGACGCCGCGUGGAGGAUAAGGUCUUCGGAUUGUAAACUCCUGUCAUGCGAGAACAAAGCCUCACGGCCUGAUAGUAUCGCAAGAGGAAGAGAC
rnacentral:rRNA from 1 species